UUGGUGCAAAAGUAACUGCGGUUUUUGCCAUGAAUUUCAAUGGCAAAAACGCAGUAACUUUUGCACCAA
rnacentral:miRNA from 1 species